AGAGUUUGAUCCUGGCUCAGGACGAACGCUGGCGGCGUGCUUAACACAUGCAAGUCGAACGAGACGAUUGAAAGCUUGCUUUUGAAAGUCGAGUGGCAAACGGGUGAGUAACGCGUAGACAACCUGCCGUAAAGAUGGGGACAACAGUCCGAAAGGACUGCUAAUACCGAAUGUUGUGGAACUUCCGCAUGGGAGCUCCACUAAAGAUGGCCUCUACUUGUAAGCUAUCGCUUUACGAUGGGUCUGCGUCUGAUUAGCUAGUUGGUGGGGUAACGGCUUACCAAGGCGACGAUCAGUAGCCGGUCUGAGAGGAUGAACGGCCACAUUGGAACUGAGACACGGUCCAGACUCCUACGGGAGGCAGCAGUGGGGAAUCUUCCGCAAUGGGCGAAAGCCUGACGGAGCAACGCCGCGUGAGUGAAGAAGGGUUUCGACUCGUAAAGCUCUGUUGUCGGGGACGAAUGUGGAGGUUGUGAAUAACAGCUUCCAAUGACGGUACCUGACGAGGAAGCCACGGCUAACUACGUGCCAGCAGCCGCGGUAAUACGUAGGUGGCGAGCGUUGUCCGGAAUUAUUGGGCGUAAAGGGAGCGCAGGCGGGAGAUCAAGUCUAUCUUAAAAGUGCGGGGCUCAACCCCGUGAGGGGAUGGAAACUGGUCUUCUUGAGUGCAGGAGAGGAAAGCGGAAUUCCUAGUGUAGCGGUGAAAUGCGUAGAUAUUAGGAGGAACACCAGUGGCGAAGGCGGCUUUCUGGACUGUAACUGACGCUGAGGCUCGAAAGCGUGGGGAGCGAACAGGAUUAGAUACCCUGGUAGUCCACGCC
rnacentral:rRNA from 1 species